GCUCGAGUGGCGAACGGGUGAGUAACACGUGAGUAACCUGCCCUUGACUUUGGGAUAACUUCAGGAAACUGGGGCUAAUACCGGAUAGGAGCUCCUGCUGCAUGGUGGGGGUUGGAAAGUUUCGGCGGUUGGGGAUGAGCUCGCGGCCUAUCAGCUUGUUGGUGGGGUAAUGGCCUACCAAGGCGGCGACGGGUAGCCGGCCUGAGAGGGUGUACGGCCACAUUGGGACUGAGAUACGGCCCAG
rnacentral:rRNA from 1 species